ensembl:snRNA U6 U6 spliceosomal RNA
AUGCUUGUUUUGGUAGCACAUAUACAAAAAUUGGAAUGAUACAGAAAAGAUUAGCAAGGCCCCUGUGCAAGGAUGACAUGAAUUUAUUAAUUUUAUUUAU